CUGAGCCGAAGGCAGUCAACUCAACCAACUGAGCCACCCAGGCGCCUGCAUAAAGAUCGUCAUAUCAUGGAAAUCACUCCCAGAUGACUGGGUCCAUUGGACUCACCGGACACGUUUCUAAUUAUCAUUCAUGGGACGAGAGUGGAGCUGCACGCAUGCGCACUGGGUCGGGAUGGCGAGCUGCAGGAUACGGCGGGGUGUUUACGGGCCUGCUCCCCCUGCUGUCUGUGUCAUCUGCCAAGGGCGACAUCCCGUUUGUCCCCUGGGCCCAGCAUCCAGCAAGAGGCCCACACAGAGCCAGCGAGUGAAGAGAAAAGCAAGGCCGGGAGAGGUCAAGUGAGCUGCUCAACAUCUCACCGCAGAAGCGCCCCAGAGCUGGGAUUCGAAUCCAGGCAGUCUGGCCCCGGAGUGCACGCUCUUAGCUGCUCCCUACAACUGCCCCCCUGGUAGACAGUGUCCUUGUUUAGUGUCACCUGAUGCUGCCUGGGCUUAAAACCAGAGACUGGCGCCUCCUUGGUACUGUUUUCCCAGCUCUCGUUGGAAAUGGAUGGUGGAAACCCAGUUUGUACCCAGAGCCGGGUGUAUCCCCCCACUCUCUGCCUGGGUACAGUUCUGCUCUGUGAGAGGCCACGCUCAGCUCUCUGUUCCAUCUCCUAGUCGCCCCAGGGCCCCUCCCUUGGUGGGUAGUGGGGGGAGCAGAGGGUGGGCCCUGGGAGCCCGAGACCAGGGCAGGGACUGGCCGUUGGGAGUGAGGUCCAAGCCGUGCUGAUUUGCAGAUGGAAAUUUACAUACAUAAUGUAAUUUGGGCCAAUUGAAUUGUCGAUUAAGAUGGAAUCACUUGACAUGCAACACGUACUCUGGCGGGUGACCGAGGAGACAAGAGGCCCUUGAGAUGCCUGUAGCAAAAACACGCUUUUGUUUUUCAAGGAGUUGGCCAUUUCCAAAUUCCACAUUUUAACAACCUCCUCUCUCAAGCCCCCCUUCCCUCUGGGUCACAGCUGGGAUCUGUUGAAAUGAAAAACUUUAUGGGCAAUUCACAUUUAAAUCCCAGGCACAGUCAGCAGGCUCCUGGGUGCAGCUGGGGAGGGGGGCCCUGGACACUUCCUCAGACUGGGGAGGCUGCAGGCCAGGGCCCUGGGUUGGAGCCCUACAACCCCCCACCUAUGACAAGCUAGGAAGUGGUGCUGGGCACACACUGGGGCUGUGGGGGAAGGAAGGGGUGCACUUCCUGCCUCCACAAUCUUGGGCACCAGGCUUUGCCUCUCAGAGCUCCUCAUCUAUGAAGUGGAGAGAAUUUUCCACAAUCACCUGUGAUGAUUAUGGUGGGAAGGCAAGGUGGUAACCUAAGAACCUUGGAAAUCGUUACAUGACCUUCAUCAUAAUAACAAAGGGUAACUACCACAUUGCCACGAGGCUCCAAACUCUCCGUAUUACUUGUUAUUUUCAGGUUUAUUAAAACAGCAAAUUCCUUGUUGCCUCAGGGCAUUUGCACAGAUUAUUUGUUCAUUUCCUUCCUGCUGUGCCCUCCCUCCUCCCCUGCCCUUUGUCUGGUGGGCCUUCCAUCUUUCCUUCAGCUUCCGCCUAAAUUCACUUUUCCAGGGAAUUCUGUCUCCAUCCAAGCCUUCCUGUUCUAUGUUCUGAAUGCCCCGAACCUUUCCUUCUUACACAGUUGUAAUUCGAUGUGAUUCCUUGUGUCCUAUCAACCUCCAUACCAAGCUCUAGUUCCACCAAGGCAAGGACAUGUUUGCCUUAUUCACUGCUGAUCCUUGGUGUGUGCUGCAAAGUAGACUUUCACAAAAGUAGGUGUUGCAUGUUGGCAAAACACACUCCUUCUCUUCAGCCCUGGCUAAUUCCUGCCAAUCCUUUAGGUCUCAGUGUACACAUCACCUCCUCUGGGAAUCCUUCCCAGAUGCCCCUGAUUUGAUUAAGGUGCCUCCCUUGUGGGUGCUAUUACAGCUCACCCCCGGGGGGGGGGGU